CACUUUGAAACACCGGCUUCCGUAGGAUCACCGAAGUUGAGCAACGUCGAGUCUGGUCAUUACCUAGAUGGGUGACCACUUGGGAAUACUAGGUGUUGUAAU